UGCAUGGUUAAAAACAAUUUAUUUGGACUAUUAUUCAAAUAUACAUGUAUUACAUAAGCUCGGUGCAUAAUUCACUAAAAUAUAUAUAUAUAGGAACAUUAUUUGGAAUAUUAUUAUGCUAAAAUUAUACUACGGUUCUUGAUACCUCUCCUUUUCUUCUGGUAUCCUAGACUAAAAAUUCCCCCAGAGAUUUUGUCUCCAUUCCGGCCAAAUUGCAUAACAACUGCCCUCCUCUUCAGAAAUUUGCACAUUCCCUUAUUGAUAAAACAUCCGCAGUAAUAUUACAUGGCUACAACUACAUGAUAUAGGUACUGAUUUUGAUGACUAGUAAUGCAUGCAUGCGGUCAAAUAAGAAUCAAGAUGUUUUGAGGUUGUAACGAUGGUCGUAUGGCGUAAAAAUUGCAAGAGAGUCUGUAAAAUAUAUUUACAUAAUUACAGCCUUAUUUCGCUAUAUUCUCGUUUUUACGAAUGUGUAGUAG
rnacentral:lncRNA from 1 species